UGUGUGUGAUUAGUGACAGGUGUAUGCAAACAGAAGUCCAGCGAUGCAGAGCGGGUGACUGAAUCAGGUGACCUACUUUUGGCCAUGUUUUGCAGUGGUGAAUAGAAACGUUGCUGAAAUAGUUACUGAAACUGGACGUGACAUGACAAAAAUGACCUGCAUGUGAAGUUCACGUCUCUAAGACCUCAUGUCGGGGAUAUGGACCUACUGGAUGCUGCGCUACGGGCUAGUCACAACUAACAGGAAUUUCAUGUGGAGGUCUAGAUGCUACUGAAGAACCUUGUCCUGAACAAUUCUACUCAACAACAAAAUUUGACAACCUUGAAGGCAAGAACUAUAUGCAGGCUCGUUUGGUGUCGCUAGCCAAGGGGAGGCACAACUAAGCUAUCAUUGUAUAGAACCACGUAGGACUGCCAGAUAGGCAGACGUUGAAGAAUUGGGCUAUAACUUCUGUCAAGAGGGAGCUGCUGGGGUAGUUGGCUGGGUGAAAUUGGACUCUGCCCAGGGAGGACUUACAGCUCUGUGGUUCUCCAUGUUGGAUAAGGUCUAAUUCAAAUGUACUGUCUCUCCAGAUUUGGCUGAGUUUGCUAUUAGUGCAGUAGUGGGCCAAACAGAGAUGUUGUGAUCUUAUUGGAUAUUUCAUUAGAAAGCACUAUUAGAUUCCAUACAGUGCCCUAUUGUCUGGUCUUCGACACACACACACACACACACACACACAUAUAUACACACACACACACACACACACACACACACACACACGCAUAUAUAUAUGUAUAUAUAUAAUAUACACACACACACACACAUACUCUGUGAUCCAGUUUUUGUGCUGAGUAUAAUAAAUUGGAA